UACGGAGGGUGCUAGCGUUGUUCGGAAUCACUGGGCGUAAAGGGCGUGUAGGCGGAUAUGUCAGUCAGGGGUGAAAUCCCAGAGCUCAACUCUGGAACUGCCUUUGAUACUGGGUAUCUUGAGUAUGGAAGAGGUAAGUGGAAUUGCGAGUGUAGAGGUGAAAUUCGUAGAUAUUCGCAGGAACACCAGUGGCGAAGGCGGCUUACUGGUCCAUUACUGACGCUGAGGUGCGAAAGCGUGGGGAGCAAACAGG
rnacentral:rRNA from 1 species